CUUGUUUAGAUGUUAUUACGAAUCAAACAGGAGUACUUUUUUUUGGGCCACCCGGUAUAUCAUAAUCCGUAUCACAUAAUAAAUACGAAUCUGUAAAUAUUGUUUUGAUAUGCAAUCCGGCAUCAAGAUUCACAUGAAAUGCAAUUCAUGUAGUGUUAUAGAUAAAGUAUUAUGGAGUAGUUACUGGUUAAUAUGUUAUUACAGGCACAUAUAUAUUUUGUAAUAUACAGUAUUGGAAUUGACUUUGCAAGUCUGGUUGUAAAAAUAAAAAUAUUUGGUUGUUUGGGGAUGGAGUGCUCCCAAAGGUCACCCUCAACCCCAUAGACUCACAUAAAUCAAUGUAUUAUACAGUGUAUUGUAUAGUAAACAAUGACCAUCACGGGGAUCUACUACCCCUUGGACAUUAAAAUAAACAAUGACCAUCACGGGGAUCUACUACCCCUUGGACAUUAAAGUAAGCAAUGACCAUCACGGGGAUCUACUACCCCUUGGACAUUUAGGAUGCCCAUCUCGGGGAUCUACUACCCCUUGGGUAAAGUCCAACAUGGGGGAACUACGACCCCCUGAGGACAUAUAAUUAUAUCAUAAUCAUAUUGCUGUAAUAGUGAGUCUGUGGGGCGACACUUUGGCCAGAGUUUAAAGUAUAAUCGGAGCAUUUCUCCUCGACAACCCUUCUCCCACAACAUUGUGUGUGUCAUAGUUGUUUUCUUAAUUGUCUUAGAAUAUUUGCUUAACGAAUUGGUGCAUUAAUGUUUAAAUUAUAAUAAUAAAGUAAGCAGUUCUUGCUGGGCUCAUUAGGACACCAGGAAAUAAUAAAAGCGAAUCUAUAAAGAUCCCAUGCAAUAUUAAAAUUUUGGUUAUGUCAAUAAUUUGUG